rnacentral:sRNA from 1 species
UAUUAUUAAUUCAUUAUCAUCAAACUUAUGAUAUUUACGGAUUCCACUUUUUACGGGUUUACGUUUUUGGCGGGAAAAUCUUGGAUUUACGUUUUUGGAGGGAAAAUCACGGGUUUACGUUUUUGGCGGGAAAAUUACGGGUUUACGUUUUUGGCGGGAAAAUUACGGGUUUACGUUUUUGGCGAGAAAAUCUCGGGUUUACGUUUUUGGCAGGAAAAUCACAGGUUUACGUUUUUGGUGGAAAAAUUACGGGUUUACGUUUUUGGCGGGAAAAUUAUAGAUUUACGUUUUUGGCGGGAAAAUCUCGGAUUUACUUUUUUUUGGCGGGAAAAUUACGGGUUUACGUUUUUGGCGGAAAAAUUAUGGAUUUACGUUUUUGGCGGGAAAAUCUUGGGUUUACGUUUUUGGCAGGAAAAUCACGGGUUUACGUUUUUGGCGGGAAAAUCACAGUUUUACGUUUUUGGCGGGAAAAUCACGGGUUUAUGUUUUUUGGUGGAAAAAUUACGAGUUUACUUUUUUUUCAAUUUCAUCCCUUGUAUAUUUAAGAAAUUUGGAAAACUAUU